rnacentral:rRNA from 1 species
UGCAGUCGAGCGGGCACUUCGGUGUCAGCGGCAGACGGGUGAGUAACGCGUGGGAACGUACCUUUUGGUUCGGAACAACACAGGGAAACUUGUGCUAAUACCGGAUAAGCCCUUACGGGGAAAGAUUUAUCGCCGAAAGAUCGGCCCGCGUCUGAUUAGCUAGUUGGUGAGGUAACGGCUCACCAAGGCGACGAUCAGUAGCUGGUCUGAGAGGAUGAUCAGCCACAUUGGGACUGAGACACGGCCCAAACUCCUACGGGAGGCAGCAGUGGGGAAUAUUGGACAAUGGGGGAAACCCUGAUCCAGCCAUGCCGCGUGAGUGAUGAAGGCCCUAGGGUUGUAAAGCUCUUUUGUGCGGGAAGAUAAUGACGGUACCGCAAGAAUAAGCCCCGGCUAACUUCGUGCCAGCAGCCGCGGUAAUACGAAGGGGGCUAGCGUUGCUCGGAAUCACUGGGCGUAAAGGGUGCGUAGGCGGGUCUUUAAGUCAGAGGUGAAAGCCUGGAGCUCAACUCCAGAACUGCCUUUGAUACUGAGGAUCUCGAGUUCGGGAGAGGUGAGUGGAACUGCGAGUGUAGAGGUGAAAUUCGUAGAUAUUCGCAAGAACACCAGUGGCGAAGGCGGCUCACUGGCCCGAUACUGACGCUGAGGCA